UGAAGAGUUUGAUCCUGGCUCAGGAUGAACGCUGGCGGCAGGCUUAACACAUGCAAGUCGAGCGGGGGAAGGUAGCUUGCUACUGGACCUAGCGGCGGACGGGUGAGUAAUGCUUAGGAAUCUGCCUAUUAGUGGGGGACAACAUCUCGAAAGGGAUGCUAAUACCGCAUACGUCCUACGGGAGAAAGCAGGGGAUCUUCGGACCUUGCGCUAAUAGAUGAGCCUAAGUCGGAUUAGCUAGUUGGUGGG
rnacentral:rRNA from 1 species